CUUUUAAGAAGGGGACAUGAACUUAUAUAAAGUUUUGUCUAUUGUAAGAGAGAAAGAGAAGAUCUAUGGCUAAAAAUUUUGCGGCGCAUGCAAUUGUAAUAUUGAUUACUGGAGUCGUAAUAAUUUCUUCUGGCAAUGUUAAAUUCCAAAAAGUUAUCGUUGCAGAAUCUUCGGCUACAUUUGGUAAUAUUAGUGAUAUUAAAGUCCAUAAAGCCGUUGCCGAAUGUGUCAAGCGAUGUCAGAAACGUUAUGAACAUGACCAAUUGAAAAUGGAAAUUUGUAUUAAGUUGGACUGUAUUGCGUUCGAAUGCAUUAAACACUAUCCACUUGAUAAAGAGAAGAUCGUGGCAUGCAUUGACGAACUUCGUGUUCAUUAUUACAAGAAGUAGCAAUGUAAUAACGGUUGGCAAAUUAGAAUUGACAUAUUAAUAAAUCCUCCGUCGAAUGGAAGAAAAUAUUAAAUAAAUUGAUCAGAUUAGGAAGAAAUUCGUCUUGCUUAUUUUUAAUACUUGUAAUGCUUUUAUUAUGAUCUUUGCUUAUAGUAUGGUUCAAUUAUCAUUAAGUCACAUGGAAAGGUUAUUAUUAGUAAAAAUUAUUAAUUCUUUUUA